GCAAAUUACUCAUGCAAUUAUCUGUCCUUCCUUCUAUGCUGGAUCAGAUUUAGAUUGAUAUUUUCUAGUGUCACGUCAAAUUCAGCUGUAUUGAUUAUUUAUGCUUUUUUUUACAUCAGAAUUGAUUAUUUACGCUAAUAAUCGACAAUAACCAAGAAGGUUAUAAUCUACUUGUUACUAUUUAUUUAUUAUAUUAAUAUUAUGUACUAUUUAUUUAUAUUAUAUCUCUACUCCUAAUGGAGCAGUUGGUAGUCUUCGUCGGUUAAAUUUCGUCCCACCUCCCUUGGUUUUUUUGGUACUUCGUCCCACCUCCCGCUUUCCACCGUCUCCCCGCAACUUACCGCCCAACCGGUAAAAAAAACAUCAAAAUACAACUACGCCCAUACUGAACCGCGCCGGUUCACAGAUAGAAAAAAGACCUAAAACGAUCUAACACGGUUAACCUACGAAAUGACAAUUGAUCGAUCUGAAACAGGACCCCUAGGACCAGAAAAUCGUCGUGCCCUCGAUGCCAUUGCGAGUCGCGGUCAUUCGUCCACGCCCCUCAAACCCUUGACCGCCGUCACAAACCCUGAAACCCUUGUCCGCCGCCACAAGCGCUCAUACCGUAGGUCUCCUUCACAGGGUGAAGUUUUAUCCCGGCGCCGCCGCCGUCCGAGAGGUGGGACGAAAGAUCUUCCGGCGCCGAUCCGUCACUGUUCAGCAGAUCUGCGUGUGAUCCAGUUGCCGCCGUAGUGGCGAUUGCAAAAUCAGGUUGGGCGUUUAUGUAUUAUAACCUUUACAAAUACUACUCUUACAAAUCUUCGUCUUUGAUCGGUACCGUGGUCAUACUGCACAAAAUCUGACAUUGUGAUCUCGGAUCGGUACCGUGGUCAUACUGUGUAAGAUUUGAGAACCUGUAAUUAAAAAAUACAUAUUCCGUCACCGUUCUAUGCAGAAUUGUAGAAUUACAGCUAACUGGAUUAUAUGCCGAGGCCAUACCUCUUGCUCUCAUUUUAUCAGCCCGAAAAUCGUGCAGGUCGUGAAUCAUCUCAUUGCCGGUUUCAGUAUUGCAAGGAACUCAGUUUUCGUGCACAUAACUGACAGGAGUUUGGGGCUGGCGCCGGCCGUCGCGGACGGUGUCAUCAGCAGUAGCAUCUGGAGGUGGUGAAUCAUCUCAUUGCUGGUUUAAGUGUAGUCAUCAAGUGGCAACAAGCAUCUAUUUUGCCUAUAAUUUUGCAAGUAUCUCAGUGACGGCCCUUGGGGACGGUGUCAUCAGCAGCAGCAUCUGGCAAGCGCAUCGAGUUUGCAGCUCACAACUUCAUAGGAUCUCCAUUUUCCAGCCCCAAAACAGCAUCUCAUGCAAAAAGUGACACAAACAUAAGGUAGUUAUGACACUUGAAUCUAAUAGGUUCCAUGCAAUAUUAAACAGUCAAGGUUUAUAUGCCAUCAGGAAAUAGCCAAGGGUCUGAACAUAGAAAAUAAUAAGAUAGAAUUUAUGUGGGAUUCAAUAUAUAGGCGCCGCGUCCCUUCCCUCGAGAUUGGCCUCAUGAACUUUCAGUAAGCGCUAAUUAUAAUAUGAGAUCAUCAUAUGCUUCUUUUUGUAAUUCUAUUGUUGCAAUGCUACUCACAUUUGUAUUUGUUUGUAGACGACAAAUAAUUUUCUUACGUGUACAUGAAGAGCACGUUGGGCCUAACUUCUGGCAUUUGCAAUGCACUGACAACCUGUUCGAGAAGUUUGCUGUAACUUACAUACAGGUAAAUCAGAGGCAGCGUUGCUUGCAAACUAUGAGGGAGAGCACAUUCUUCUUCUCUCCCAACAUUAAUGAUGAUCAUCAUUAUCUACAAGAUAUCCAUGAAGCCAGCCUGACGACACUUGAUGAAACACGUGCUUACGUCAAUCGUGUUGUCCAAGGUAGGAACAAUGGACGUCAGAACUAUCACAGUCGAAAUUAGAGCAUCCUUGAGGGUUUUGGACGACUGACUAUGUACUGAUGCAUAUUCAAAUGUCGCAAAUAAAUGGCUUCUACAGUUUUGUUAUGGAUCGAAUUGAGAAUUAUCAUUUUGGCAUUAUGAUUAAUGUAUUAUACAUAUAUAUACCUUCAUAAUACGCAGUGUUCA